rnacentral:rRNA from 1 species
GACGAACGCUGGCGGCGUGCUUAACACAUGCAAGUCGAACGGAAAGGCCCUGCUUUUGGGGUGUUCUCGAGGGGAAAAGGGGGGAGAAACACGGGAGUAACCUCCCCUAGUCUUUGGUAAACCUUCAGAAACCUGGGUCAUAUCCCGUAUAGGCCCUCCUUCUUCUGGUUGGGGGUUGAAAAUUUUCGUGGGGUGGGGAUGGACUGCCGACUAAUCAGCUUGUUGGUGGGUUAGUGGCUUACCAAGCCUUGGACGGGUAGCCGGCCUGGGAGGGUGACCGGCCAAAUUGGGACUGAGAUAGGGCCCAGACUCCUAGGGGAGGAAGAAGUGGGGAAUUUUGCACAAUGGGCGGAAGCCUGAUGCAGCAACGCCGCGUGCGGGAUGACGGCCUUGGGGUUGUAAACCGCUUUCGCCUGUGACGAAGCGUGAGUGACGGUAAUGGGUAAAGAAGCACCGGCUAACUACGUG